AUAAUAAUAAUUUAAAAAAAAAAAUAAUAAAAAAAAAAGGCAUGAAAAUUAGUUCCCGUGUGUUCAAACAACUGUCCUUGGAACAUAUAGCAAGUCCAGCGAGACUAAAAAGUAAGAGUUCAUUUCGGCCAUUCAUACACAACAUUCAAUGAGACUACAUUGCAGGUGCAUCAAAAUACAUUAAACACGACAAACCAAUCAGCAAAGAGGUCAAAGUGCACAACACGCAGAACUGUACACACAAAUUUACCACACGUUUCUUGGCAGUGGAGUUGCGUUUAGUCAAAACCGAGGCUAUGACAGCCACCCACGGGUCAGCCCACAGGUUGAAGUUGGCGGCAUGCGCCCAGGCCAUGCCAGGGUGUUGGCCUACAUCCUCCCUCGGAGUUUCGGACGGCCAUUCGUUACGCCCGCGGUUCAACUGCCGAGACACGACGGCUUCCAACAGACAGGCGUCUGACUGUGGACCGCCACAACGCCCACUGAACCGCCGGGGUGCCACCGAGCAAGGCGCCGUCCCCACACGCCUGUCAUGGCUGCCCACCAAGGGUGACGGCUUAACAACAAAUCACUUCGCUUUUCACUACGGCCUCGCAGGUCCAGCCCAACGCAGACGGACCAGAAUCGGGACCAAAUGGACAGGUGGACACACGAGUUACCCUGCUGAAAACCUGGUUACAGGGCAGCAUCACGACGCCAGCGGCACAUGGCAAACUAUCACACACACACAAACGAGUAUGUAGCGGUUAUUCUUCUGCGUUGUGUAUUUUUGUUUAGCUCCUCGAACAGCAAAUGACGAGAUCACACCAAGAGAUGGCUUAACCAUGUGUAUUUUCCUGCACAAAAAGCAAAGUGGCAUCAGAGCAUCAGUCCCCCCCCCCUUCCUGUGCCUCCCUCUCUUACAGCCCACGCCAUGUGUUCAAGAGACCGGAACCAGGUCCCCGGCCCACUAACCCAAUGGCACGGCCACCGCUACCAUACGGAAAAUCCAGAAACACUAACACACACUUAGACAUUCCACAAUUAAUAAAAAAAAAAAAAUAAAAAAAAAAGAUUUAAGA
rnacentral:lncRNA from 1 species